UGUUCAUUUUUUAAUUUAUGCAUCUAAUGCAUAAAUUAAAUAAUCCUGAUAGCCAGAUGCUCUAGAGUUUAAAUUGUUGAUGUGUAAACUUAUCUCUUGCGUUUUAAAAAAGAUUGUAGUCUGAUGUGAACAGUGGCAGAUAUACAACAGGAUCACCAAAUCUGACAAGGCAGCAUAACACAUUCCCGAAAUCCGUUACUCCCCUCUAUUUCCCACCGAAUGAAUUUAAUGUUACACAAAUUCUCUUUAGUGAUGUCUAAUCUCAUUUGUUUCAUACACUAGAAAGCAUUUUGGUCUGAUGCAAACAAUUGCAGAUAUACAGCAGGAUCACAAAAUGCGAACGCAUUUUGAUCUGAUGCAAACAAUUGCUGAUAUACAGCAGGUUCACAAAAUCCAACAAGGCAGCGUAUAACAGGUUGCCAAUAUCUGUUACCCUCCUCUAUUUCACACAGAAUGGGUAAGAUGUUACACAACAUCCCACUAGAAAUGUCUAAUCUCCUCUGUUUCAUACUCUAGAAAGCAUUUUAGUCUGCUGUGAACAGUUGCAGAUAUACAGCUGGGUCACCAAAUCUGAGGCAGCGGAACCUCUCUAUUUAAUAAGUGUUCUGAUGACCGUCGCUCUGGUGUGGCAACCCAAUGAGGAGUUUGUCUUCAGUGGGCUGAGAGUCAAAGCGCCCACUAGAGGUGCAGAAAUGUAACAGCUGCACCUGCAACAAACAAACUGAGUGAUUCUCUGGACAGUGUCAUCAGAAGUCGUGUAGUGCAUUCCAGCCUGUGUCAGUGUUGUGUGGUGGUCCAGUGAGCCAGCAGAGGGCAGUCGUGUGAGCUGAGGCAGGGCUCCACCCCAGUGUGCCUCAGAGAGCUGCCUCUGAUGCUGCUGCCUCCGAGCCUGUGGGCCAGGUGCUCUCACACUGACUAAAAUCCGAAGACAGAGGCAGCCAUCUAAAUCCGGUUAGAGGACAGAAAAUGCCAUCCUUUGAGAAAGAACUAUUCAUUUUGGCUUUUGUGUUAUAAAUAAGUCUGUCCGAAGCACCUGGUGGAAGUUUUAUCUUGUUUUAGAAGUUUAGUUUUCUGACACGUCUCCUGUGAGGGUUGGAUUGGUGUCUGGGAUUCAUGUCUCACCCUCUGAGAUCAGCAGGUCACAUGCAAUAACAAAGUGUGAUUUCCAUAAAUAGCCAACUCUCCUGAGUUUUAUUAGUUUUGGUUCAUCUGAUGCAGUUAUUAACUACUCAGUUGAAAGGCUUGAGGUUUGCUCAUGCAAUCAAACAGGAGGGCCGUAGGUGACAUCAUCAUCUCUUUUAUCCACAAACCUCAUCAUUGACCGAACUGCUAUUUGAUCUCCUGGUGUUCCAGUAACUUCAAGUAAAACACAAUUAGAUGGUCGAACCUACUGAGAUAUAAUCUUGGACAGCUACGUCAAUGGUUACGCUCAAGUCAAGGACCUUGAAGAAAAUGUCCCAUAUUGCCUUUCAUUUUGGACUGGAGAAGAGAUUUCAGGGC